CGGCAUUCAAUUGUAUUCUAAAUCAUAAAUAAAUAUUAAAAAUCAAUUUGAAUGCGAUUUCCCCCCACACGAGCCCGAACACUCUGCACAAAGCGGAGAAAUAUAGUCGCUGCGCAAAAUAAAUAAACGGAAUAUAUAUGAAAAGAAAAUACAUAGGAAAGCGCACAACAAUGCAGAGGGCAUUGACAGCGAGUUGCAGUCUCAGUGGAAUUUUUCAUAAAUGAAAAAUAUCCCAGCGUUAAGGAAUUUUAUAUAAAUGAAAACUAAGCAAUACCGGCUAAUAUCGCUCCGUUUCAUUGACAACAUUUAGAUUUUCCUGUGGAAAACAUUUCCCAUCAGUCAGGCCAUUAUUCUGGCCACUCGUUUGGACACAAAGAGUUUUUAUUGCUGGUUGCAGGCUCCACGAUGAUGAAUGAUGGAUGAAUCGUUUCGUCACAAAAGAAUUCGUGUAUUUAUGCGACAUUUGCUUUUAAUUGAUUGUUCGAAAUGACAAACGACUUUCCGUCGCCGACGCAUUUGAUUUAUGCCCCGGGCGAGCUAAUAAAACUUUACUACGAAGUUGUGCGAAAAUUAAACGAAAAUGCCCGGCAA